rnacentral:rRNA from 1 species
UUGAUCUCAAAUCAGGUAGGACUACCCGCUGAACUUAUUUUUCUUAUCAAUAAGCGGAGGAAAAGAAACUAACAAGGAUUCCCCUAGUAACUGCGAGUGAAGCGGGAAGAGCUCAAAUUUAAAAUCUGGCGUGCCUCUGGCCGUCCGAGUUGUAGUCUGGAGAAGCGUCUUCCGUGUGGGACCGUGUACAAGUCUCUUGGAACA